rnacentral:lncRNA from 1 species
AAAAAUUCUAGCCGUUUCUCGUUUGAUUCCGUUCUACUUUUCCUGUGUCGGGGCUUCCGUUUUUCCCCAAAGAAUUCACUUCCCGUCCAGCUUAAGCAGGCGCUUUGAAGCCAACAUCCGUCGAAGGGGAACUUUCAGUCGUGCCAAAAGAGGGGAACUUUCUGUGGGUGAUGGUUGUCGGUAUCCAGGGUUUCGUUUCUCUUUCCUACUGUUUCUGGUCUUGUUAAAUCGUCUAAUCGAAGUGCUUGCAGUGGAUCAUUGAUCGGUUCUUGAUGAGAGAUUGGAUGGUGGUGAAGGAACGAUGAGCGGCGGUGGCGGCGAGCCCGCUGCUGGGUUCGAUUCCAACUCCGUCGAGGUACUCUUUUCAAGAAUUUCUUUUUUCCUUUAAUUGAUUUGUUAAAGAUUGGAUUUUUCUUCGUUUCUUGAUGUUCUGGUUGCCUUGUUCUGGUAAAAUUUUAGUUUGUGAGCGGAUGAAAUCCAGCAGGCUUUGUUUCUACUUCGAUUUUGCCCUAGUUUUUGAGGUUUAAUUGAUGGUUUUAUUCUAAUUGCAACGGAAACAAUGCUCCAUCUCGAGUUCUCGCAUGUGUAUCCCUUCUGAAAAGUAUCAUGUCUCCGAUGCUCGCACAGGGUACUACCAGAUAUUAGGAUCCCGUCAAGUUGUGGCGCAUAUUGACAAAUAGCGUCAAUAUGAUCCAAGUAAAAAAAUAUUUAAUUAGAACCCAUAUUUGAUAAAUAUCUCUUAUCACCCAAAUGAGAAUUAUUUCACUUCUUUAAGUAACAUGGGCAAGGAGACAUCAUCUCAAGUUAUGAGUCUAGUCGCACAUCGGCCAGCCAAAAAAUCUUCACAUGUUUAAAUAACAUGUGUUGUCAGUCUCCAAUGUCUUCCAGAUGGUAAAGGUAUGAUUUAUUUUGGAAUCCACAUGCUCUGAUACCAUUGAUGCAUAAUUAAACCAUAAUCAUAAAUCAUACCUUCAUUUGCUAAAUUUAUCUUGAACUCUGAGAUGCAUGUAAUCUAAUUCGCAACCGCGAUCAAUAAGAAAUAAUUCUGAUCUAAACAAAAAUUAGCAGAGAGGUCUUCUGGCUGCAGAUGGUUACACUCGUGAAGAGUCACCUCCCAUCAAGAUAACCAUUUACUACUGCAAAAUUAUCUUAAUACCCUUAAGAUUAUCAGGAUUUACAAAAUUGAAGGAAUACUUGUCAAAUGUGGGUUCUAAUUAAACGGGAUCAGGAUUUAAUUAAACAGGAUCCAAACCGGAUUAUGCUAAAGUAUUAUUGGCGGUCAUACUGGGGAUAUGUGGAGCGGAUUGCUGGACAAUCCUUUUUCCCCCCAACAGAUCUCUUUAUACUCAGGUCUUGCUUGCACCCGUCACCAAAAUUAAACCGGAUGAUGGUAGGCUCCACUUGCAGGAGAGAAUGAAUGUUUCAGGUGACUGUAGACGCACCUCGGUCGCUGGAAGAACAUACGUCGUUGGGAACAGUUUCACUAUCGGACUUUGGGCUACAGGGCGUUGGGAAGAUCCUGAAGAUUUGUAAUGUUUUGGCUGACGACAAAAAGCCUUCCUCUCAAUCAUCUCGUCGUUAUUUGCUCGCUUUAGCCAAUGGAAUCGCUGCUCUGUUUUGCCGUCUGGCUUAGCACCUUUUUGUUGAUCUCUCCCCACUCUCUGUAUCUGUAACCUCUUUUACCCUCUGCAACUCUUGCUAAGUUGUAAAUUCUUGCUCUGAUUUUGAUUUUGAAUGUUCUUUUUCCU